UUGUAGUCGGCUUUGGACUUUAUGGAUCUUAUUUCGGACCUACUGAAUACGAAGUACAUUUACAAGUGAUCCAUUUAGCUACAAAGAAGGUGUGUGGUUCAAAUACGACGACGUUCUGUUGUGAUGGCACAGAUGAUACCUUCCGUGCCAUGUUCAAGGAGCCCGUUGAGAUCUCACCCAACACUUCAUAUAUAGCCAGCGCCAAACUUAAGACUCGUACUACGGCACGAAAGGUCUCCGGCGCGUCACGGUUGACGGCAAUAAUGGCGAAAAGAUCGUUUUCCAGUUUUCAUACGCCGCUGGCAAUAAUAAUGGGACAUCGGUUGAGGACGGACAGAUACCGGCCAUCAUUUUUCACAUAUAAAAUAGGCUUACCCCCACAGCCGCGCCCAGCCUCCACUCAUGAUUUUAUCAAAUGUCUCUUGUGUGUAUGGUGAACGAAUGACUGAAUGAUUUCAAAUAUACAUCUUCUGUAUCCUAGAUUACCUCAAGAGCAAAGGUAACAGAAACCAUAGUUAUGCAAUGUCUUGAAUGUCUGACCGAAUGAUUGAAUGGUUUGAAAUAUACAUCUUGGGUAUCUACGAUUUUGUCCAGAGUAAGAGUAACAGAACUCGAUGUAUUUUGUGUAUGGUGAAUGAAUGACUGAAUGAUUUCACAUAUGCGUGUCUAUUAGAUAACGUCAAGACAAUGUAGUAGAAACCGUAGUCGUGUCCUGUAUUUGUGAACGAAUGAUUGAAUGGUUUGAAAUAUGAGUUAGUCUUCCGUGCUUUAAAAACGCUGUGGGGUGAAAAAAUAAAAACUGUAGCAAUGAAUGAUGAACGAAUGAAUGAAUGGUGAAGAAAGUGUUAUUUAAUAGUUCUCUUCUAUCUUUGAACAAGUCAUGGGGAUCCUCGUUCAUUCUUAUCGAAUGUAAGUUUGGUAAUUGAAUGAAUGAACGGUUGUGGUUAUGUUGGGGGGAAGGAAUAUAAAUAAGUAUAAAACGUUACUCUGUCUUCUUUCUUUUCUAUAAUCUAUUUCUUAGUUAAAUUUCUAUAUUUACUUGAUAAAAUGUCUCUGUAAAUUUGUUGAAUUAACAAAAUUAAUGGUCACAAAUAUAUACCUUAUUACAUUUAGU